UACAGAGGUCUCAAGCGUUGUUCGGAUUCAUUGGGCGUAAAGGGUGCGUAGGCGGCGCGGUAAGUCGGGUGUGAAAUCUCGGAGCUUAACUCCGAAACUGCAUUCGAUACUGCCGUGCUUGAGGUCUGGAGAGGAGACUGGAAUUUACGGUGUAGCGGUGAAAUGCGUAGAUAUCGUGAGGAAGACCAGUGGCGAAGGCGGGUCUCUGGCCUGUUCCUGUCGCUGAGGCGCGAAUGCCUGGGGAGCAAUCGGG
rnacentral:rRNA from 1 species